AUUGAACGCUGGCGGCAUGCCUAACACAUGCAAGUCGAACGAAGCCUUCGGGCUUAGUGGCGCACGGGUGCGUAACGCGUGGGAAUCUGCCCUUGGUUCGGAAUAACAGAGAGAAAUUUCUGCUAAUACCGAUUGAUGUCGCAAGACCAAAGAUUUAUCGCCCAGGGAUGAGCCCGCGUAGGAUUAGCUAGUUGGUGUGGUAAAGGCGCAACAAGGCGACGAUCCUUAGCUGGUCUGAGAGGAUGAUCAGCCACACUGGGACUGAGACACGGCCCAGACUCCUACGGGAGGCAGCAGUGGGGAAUAUUGGACAAUGGGCGAAAGCCUGAUCCAGCAAUGCCGCGUGAGUGAUGAAGUCCUUAGGGUUGUAAAGCUCUUUUACCCGGGAAGAUAAUGACUGUACCGGGAGAAUAAGCUCCGGCUAACUCCGUGCCAGCAGCCGCCGUAA
rnacentral:rRNA from 1 species